rnacentral:rRNA from 1 species
CCUACGGGAGGCAGCAGUGAGGAAUAUUGGACAAUGGGCGCAAGCCUGAUCCAGCCAUGCCGCGUGCAGGAAGACGGUCCUAUGGAUUGUAAACUGCUUUUGUGCAGGAAGAAACACUCCCUCGUGAGGGAGCUUGACGGUACUGUAAGAAUAAGGAUCGGCUAACUCCGUGCCAGCAGCCGCGGUAAUACGGAGGAUCCAAGCGUUAUCCGGAAUCAUUGGGUUUAAAGGGUCCGUAGGCGGUUUAAUAAGUCAGUGGUGAAAUCUGGUCGCUCAACGAUCAAACGGCCAUUGAUACUGUUAGACUUGAAUUAUUAGGAAGUAACUAGAAUAUGUAGUGUAGCGGUGAAAUGCUUAGAUAUUACAUGGAAUACCAAUUGCGAAGGCAGGUUACUACUAAUGGAUUGACGCUGAUGGACGAAAGCGUGGGGAGCGAACAGGAUUAGAUACCCUGGUAGUCCACGCCGUAAACGAUGGAUACUAGNUGUGUAGNAUACUGNGUGUGUAGACGAAGUAGAUAAGUAUACCACCGUACGGAGGUAGUCGUCGACGAAGUAGUAAGUAAAGUAAGUAAGUUAGUAGUACGUGAGAGAGACGACGACGACGACGACGGAGGGAGGAGG